rnacentral:rRNA from 1 species
UUUAACUGAAGAGUUUGAUCAUGGCUCAGAUUGAACGCUGGCGGCAGGCUUAACACAUGCAAGUCGAGCGGGGGAAGGUAGCUUGCUACC